UGGGGAUAUUGCACAAUGGGGGAAACCCUGAUGCAGCGACGCCGCGUGAGUGAAGAAGUAUUUCGGUAUGUAAAGCUCUAUCAGCAGGGAAGAAAAAAGACGGUACCUGACUAAGAAGCCCCGGCUAACUACGUGCC
rnacentral:rRNA from 1 species